UGUUUUUGAUCAGUUUAAUGAAAAACGCGGAGGAGCAAAGACGUGAAUUUUAUCCUUUCCUAAAGAAACCAUACUUAUUUCUACCUUUUUUAGAGGAUACAAAGUUUCGUGUUCAGGAAUACGUAAGUGCACAAUGGAGUGGGAUAAGCUGGUCUUUGUAUGUAUUUGCGGCUGCCUGCCUAUUGAUGACGACAACAGGGAGGGCAUGCGUUUGGAAUUCCUAGGGUGGGGAGGUGUUACUCAGGCUGGGGAAUCGUUUGAGCAUGAGAGCCCCACAGGAAUGUGCACCUGCGUUGCACAAGAGCAAGAGUGUAAUACUGUUCUUUUUGUUCGGACUUGCACUCCAAAGACGAGCAAAUGUACCGCUAAGGUGACGGAAUAGCUUCGAAUCAAACAAUUUUAGUGGUAAACUAAUCUUAAAACUGUUUUCAAGCCAAGUUUGAAUGGCUCUUUAUUUAUAGAUAGAUAAUUUUUAUUAAUCGGAAGCAUACAUAUUAUAAUUUGUAGCAAUUAAGCGUUGAAUAAAAGUUUAUCCAAAUUAAAUAUGCAUGUA